rnacentral:rRNA from 1 species
AUUGAACGCUGGCGGCAGGCCUAACACAUGCAAGUCGAACGAGUGGCGGACGGGUGAGUAAUGUCUGGGAAACUGCCUGAUGGAGGGGGAUAACUACUGGAAACGGUAGCUAAUACCGCAUACCAUCAGAUGUGCCCAGAUGGGAUUAGCUUGUUGGUGGGGUAACGACUCACAAAGGCGACGAUCCCUAGCUGGUCUGAGAGGAUGACCAGCCAAACUGGAACGGAAAAACGGUCCAGACGCCUACGGGGGGAAGCGGUGGGGAAUAUUUCACAUUGGGCGCAAGCCGGAUGCAGACAGGCCGCGUGUAUGAAGAAGGCCUUCGGGUUGAAAAGUACUUUCAGCGGGGAGGCGUUACCCGCAGAAGAAGCACCGGCUAACUCCGUGCCAGCCGCCGCGGUAAUUC